GGCCUUGACAUACUAAGAACUUUCCGAGAGAUGGAUUGGUGCCUUCGGGAACUUAGAUACAGGUGCUGCAUGGCUGUCGUCAGCUCGUGUCGUGAGAUGUUGGGUUAAGUCCCGCAACGAGCGCAACCCUUUUCCUUAUUUGCCAGCGGGUCAUGCCGGGAACUUUAAGGAUACUGCCAGUGACAAACUGGAGGAAGGCGGGGACGACGUCAAGUCAUCAUGGCCCUUACGGCCAGGGCUACACACGUGCUACAAUGGUCGGUACAAAGGGUUGCUACCUCGCGAGAGGAUGCUAAUCUCAAAAAGCCGAUCGUAGUCCGGAUCGCAGUCUGCAACUCGACUGCGUGAAGUCGGAAUCGCUAGUAAUCGCGGAUCAGAAUGCCGCGGUGAAUACGUUCCCGGGCCUUGUACACACCGCCCGUCACACCAUGGGAGUUUGUUGCACCAGAAGUAGGUAGUCUAACCGCAAGGAGGACGCUUACCACGGUGUGGCCGAUGACUGGGGUGAAGUCGUAACAAGGUAGGCGUAGAUGA
rnacentral:rRNA from 1 species